CGGGACAACAUCCAAAGGGAUGCUAAUACCGGAUGUGACGCUCCUAUCGCAUGACGGGAGCGUGAAAGAUGGCCUCUACAUGUAAGCUAUCGCUAAAGGAUGGGCCUGCGUCUGAUUAGCUAGUUGGUAGUGUAACGGACAACCAAGGCGAUGAUCAGUAGCCGGUCUGAGAGGAUGAACGGCCACAUUGGGACUGAGACACGGCUCAG
rnacentral:rRNA from 1 species